CAUAAUAAAUACUGAUGUUUGAUCAUUACUGAAGUGUGUUGUUAAUGAAGAAGCAACAGGAGGUGUGGCCUGUUAAAAUCACAAACCCUGCGCUGACAUGAUGAAAGAGAAGAGGUUGGAGAAACCCUCGGUGUAAGCUUCUUGGCUCUUUGACAUCACUGACUGACACACAAGCACAGGGUGAACAUGAAGAGAUAACAAGCUGCACAACACUUCAGAGGCGUGGACUUAUCAAAGGGCCACUGACCUGGCAACACGAUAAUUACAGCAGAUCCAGACGGUUUUGAGGAAGAGGAGACUUCAAGGAGACUGUGGUGCAGCUAAGAUGGCUCUGUGCCAUUUGGGUCCUUCAUCCUCAAGAACUUAUAGCAUCCUGAAAAUGCAUUCUCAUCUGCUUCACUGUAACAUCAAGGCAUUGAUUCCGUGCCUGAUGAUCAUCCAGAAACAUAUCACAGGGCCCUUCGGAGACAUCCAGACAUCAUUAUCAUAGAACGGGGGAUAUUUUUCAUUGAGUCAUGGUGUAGACCAGCCGAGGAAUGUGUUAUGGUUGAUGUGUUGCUGUGAAAUUUAAAUGAGCUGGCCGCAGUUUGCUGUGUUUCUUCUAAUCGAUACUGCUUAUUUUGCAACGCAGAAUGCCUUAAGAAGGGGGCACUCUGAAAAUACUUUUUCCUUUAACAUUAUGAACUUUUGUCCACAAAUACCCAAGACAUAUCUUGUAAUCCACUGUUGAAGACAAACUUGCAACAGCUUAACAAGAGAGCACACAGAAAAACGCUGUGCAGCUUAAAAGUCCAGUCACGAAGCCCAACCAGAUCGCUCUCUUUAUUUCAUAGCACCAUACUAAGCAGCAGCUGCAUCCUUACAGAGGCCUGCCCUAUAUAACCUUGAGUUACAUGGCCUGAAUGCUAUAUUUUGUCCUGUAUGGCCUGACUACAUCAAUCACUGUAAACUGAAUAAGGGCUGGAAAUAUACAGUACAUUUAUAUUCUUUCAAACAGGCAAUAAGAAGGCUGCAGCUCAGGACUGUAAAAGUAUCUCACUGUAUGUUGAUGUAUGCUUCACUUUCUCCCUAACCGAUGUUAAGGAUGAAAUGAAAUCAGUGGUGCAGUGAAGCUUACAUGCAAGGUGAACACGAUAAAUUAACAGUCCAUCGCCAGAAGAUUGUCUUUUUUUUCUGCAAUGCAAGAGACAAGCCAAUAAAGUUUCACUUUGCCCCCACUUUGAUUAAUUUCUUUCCCUUAGCAAUAAUGCACCUCUGAGAGGCACACAAAAUAUCCUGCUGAUGGAAAUUAUGAAGUGCACUAUUAUUUUCCUCCAGCUGUGAAAAGCUCCUGCUUUCUCACUCUUGUAUCAGGACAUUACACCAGCUCUCUGAGCCAACACGAAAUUAGGUUUUUGACACGAUUCUUUUAUAUCAUCUGAACUCUGUAGGGGUGAGAUACAGAAUCUCUAGAUUCUGUAGAAAUUGAAG